CCAGACUCCUACGGGAGGCAGCAGUGAGGAAUAUUGGUCAAUGGGCGGGAGUCUGAACCAGCCAAGCCGCGUGAGGGAAGAAGGUACGGCGUAUCGUAAACCUCUUUUGUCAGGGAACAAAGGCGGGGACUAGUCCCCGGAUGAGGGUACCUGAAGAAAAAGCAUCGGCUAACUCCGUGCCAGCAGCCGCGGUAAUACGGAGGAUGCGAGCGUUAUCCGGAUUUAUUGGGUUUAAAGGGUGCGUAGGCGGAAUGCCAAGUCAGCGGUAAAAUCGCGGGGCUCAACCUCGCUCCGCCGUUGAAACUGGCGUUCUUGAGUGGGCGAGAAGUAUGCGGAAUUCCUAGUGUAGCGGUGAAAUGCGUAGAUAUUAGGAGGAACACCAGUGGCGAAGGCGACUUUCUGGACUGUACCUGACGCUGAGGCGCGAAAGCGUGGGUAGCGAACGGGAUUAGAUACCCCUGUAC
rnacentral:rRNA from 1 species